GAUGAACGCUAGCUACAGGCUUAACACAUGCAAGUCGAGGGGAAACGGCAUUAAGUGCUUGCACUUUUUGGACGUCGACCGGCGCACGGGUGAGUAACGCGUAUCCAACCUUCCUAUGACUAAGGGAUAACCUGCCGAAAGGCAGACUAAUACCUUAUGGUCUUCACUGACGGCAUCAGAUGUGAAGUAAAGAUUUAUCGGUUAUGGAUGGGGAUGCGUCUGAUUAGCUUGUUGGCGGGGUAACGGCCCACCAAGGCAACGAUCAGUAGGGGUUCUGAGAGGAAGGUCCCCCACAUUGGAACUGAGACACGGUCCAAACUCCUACGGGAGGCAGCAGUGAGGAAUAUUGGUCAAUGGGCGAGAGCCUGAACCAGCCAAGUAGCGUGCAGGAUGACGGCCCUAUGGGUUGUAAACUGCUUUUGUAUGGGGAUAAAGUCAAUCACGUGUGAUUGUUUGCAGGUACCAUACGAAUAAGGACCGGCUAAUUCCGUGCCAGCAGCCGCGGUAAUACGGAAGGUCCGGGCGUUAUCCGGAUUUAUUGGGUUUAAAGGGAGCGUAGGCUGGAGAUUAAGUGUGUUGUGAAAUGUAGACGCUCAACGUCUGACUUGCAGCGCAUACUGGUUUCCUUGAGUACGCACAACGUUGGCGGAAUUCGUCGUGUAGCGGUGAAAUGCUUAGAUAUGACGAAGAACUCCGAUUGCGAAGGCAGCUGACGGGAGCGCAACUGACGCUGAAGCUCGAAGGUGCGGGUAUCGAACAGG
rnacentral:rRNA from 1 species